CCGCUCCUCUUUUCUCAAUUUGUACCCUUUAUCCUAAAAAAUGCUUUCAGGAGUCACUGAAGCAAGACUUGAAAUAAUGUGACCUUCUGGGUAGUAAUAUUACAGAAAAAAUAAUAAUGAAAAGCACAUCACGUGGCAAUAUCCAAAAUGAGGUUGUCCCUCCACAUUUUAACUUGGAUGGAACAUCAGUGUCUGCUUCCUGAGCAGCUGCUAAGCUGAGGGACUGCAUGACAAACCCUGGCAGUGAGGGGCAGGG
rnacentral:lncRNA from 1 species